UUAGAGUUUGAUCCUGGCUCAGGAUGAACGCUGGCGGCGUGCCUAACACAUGCAAGUCGAACGAAGCUGCGUUUUCGGACAAAGCUUAGUGGCGGACGGGUGAGUAACGCGUAUGCAACCUACCCACGACAGGGGGAUAACCCGGAGAAAUUCGGACUAAUACCGCGUAACGGCCGGAGAGGGCAUCCUUUCCGGCCCGAAGCAGCGAUGCGGUUGUGGAUGGGCAUGCGUGGCAUUAGCUAGACGGUGGGGUAACGGCCCACCGUGGCGACGAUGCCUAGGGGGCCUGAGAGGGUGGUCCCCCACACUGGUACUGAGACACGGACCAGACUCCUACGGGAGGCAGCAGUGAGGAAUAUUGGUCAAUGGGCGGAAGCCUGAACCAGCCAUCCCGCGUGAGGGAAUAAUGCCCUAUGGGUUUUAAACCUCUUUUGCCGGGGACGAUAGUGGGCGACGAGUCGUCCAUGGACGGUACCCGGGGAAUAAGCAUCGGCUAACUCCGUGCCAGCAGCCGCGGUAAUACGGAGGAUGCGAGCGUUAUCCGGAUUUAUUGGGUUUAAAGGGUGCGUAGGCGGGUCGGUAAGUCAGCGGUGAAAUGUCGGGGCUCAACUUCGGAAUUGCCGUUGAUACUGCUGGUCUUGAAUACGGUCGAGGUAGGCGGAAUGUGUAAUGUAGCGGUGAAAUGCUUAGAUAUUACACAGAACACCGAUUGCGAAGGCAGCUUGCUAGGCCGGUAUUGACGCUGAGGCACGAAAGCGUGGGGAUCGAACAGGAUUAGAUACCCUGGUAGUCCACGCCGUAAACGAUGGACGCUCGCCGUCCGGCAUAGAGCCGGGUGGCCAAGCGAAAGCGAUAAGCGUCCCACCUGGGGAGUACGCCGGCAACGGUGAAACUCAAAGGAAUUGACGGGGGCCCGCACAAGCGGAGGAACAUGUGGUUUAAUUCGAUGAUACGCGAGGAACCUUACCCGGGCUUGAAAGUUAGCGACGGACCUUGAAAGAGGUCUUCCCUUCGGGGCGCGAAACUAGGUGCUGCAUGGUUGUCGUCAGCUUGUGCCGUGAGGUGUCGGCUUAAGUGCCAUAACGAGCGCAACCCCUGCCGCCAGUUGCUAGCGAGUAAAGUUGGGGACUCUGGCGGGACUGCCACCGCAAGGUGCGAGGAAGGCGGGGAUGACGUCAAAUCAGCACGGCCCUUACGUCCGGGGCGACACACGUGUUACAAUGGGGGGUACAGAGGGCAGCGACCUGGCGACAGGGAGCGAAUCUCAGAAAGCCCCUCUCAGUUCGGAUCGGAGUCUGCAACCCGACUCCGUGAAGCUGGAUUCGCUAGUAAUCGCGCAUCAGCCAUGGCGCGGUGAAUACGUUCCCGGGCCUUGCACACACCGCCCGUCAAG
rnacentral:rRNA from 1 species